rnacentral:rRNA from 1 species
AUUGAACGCUGGCGGCAGGCUUAACACAUGCAAGUCGAACGAUGAUUAUCUAGCUUGCUAGAUAUGAUUAGUGGCGGACGGGUGAGUAACAUUUAGGAAUCUGCCUAGUAGUGGGGGAUAGCUCGGGGAAACUCGAAUUAAUACCGCAUACGACCUACGGGUGAAAGGGGGCGCAAGCUCUUGCUAUUAGAUGAGCCUAAAUCAGAUUAGCUAGUUGGUGGGGUAAAGGCCCACCAAGGCGACGAUCUGUAACUGGUCUGAGAGGAUGAUCAGUCACACCGGAACUGAGACACGGUCCGGACUCCUACGGGAGGCAGCAGUGGGGAAUAUUGGACAAUGGGGGCAACCCUGAUCCAGCCAUGCCGCGUGUGUGAAGAAGGCCUUUUGGUUGUAAAGCACUUUAAGCAGGGAGGAGAGGCUAAUGGUUAAUACCCAUUAGAUUAGACGUUACCUGCAGAAUAAGCACCGGCUAACUCUGUGCCAGCAGCCGCGGUAAUACAGAGGGUGCGAGCGUUAAUCGGAAUUACUGGGCGUAAAGCGAGUGUAGGUGGCUCAUUAAGUCACAUGUGAAAUCCCCGGGCUUAACCUGGGAACUGCAUGUGAUACUGGUGGUGCUAGAAUAUGUGAGAGGGAAGUAGAAUUCCAGGUGUAGCGGUGAAAUGCGUAGAGAUCUGGAGGAAUACCGAUGGCGAAGGCAGCUUCCUGGCAUAAUAUUGACACUGAGAUUCGAAAGCGUGGGUAGCAAACAGGAUUAGAUACCCUGGUAGUCCACGCCGUAAACGAUGUCUACUAGCCGUUGGGGUCCUUGAGACUUUAGUGGCGCAGUUAACGCGAUAAGUAGACCGCCUGGGGAGUACGGCCGCAAGGUUAAAACUCAAAUGAAUUGACGGGGGCCCGCACAAGCGGUGGAGCAUGUGGUUUAAUUCGAUGCAACGCGAAGAACCUUACCUGGUCUUGACAUAGUGAGAAUCCUGCAGAGAUGCGGGAGUGCCUUCGGGAAUUCACAUACAGGUGCUGCAUGGCUGUCGUCAGCUCGUGUCGUGAGAUGUUGGGUUAAGUCCCGCAACGAGCGCAACCCUUUUCCUUAUUUGCCAGCGGGUUAAGCCGGGAACUUUAAGGAUACUGCCAGUGACAAACUGGAGGAAGGCGGGGACGACGUCAAGUCAUCAUGGCCCUUACGACCAGGGCUACACACGUGCUACAAUGGUAGGUACAGAGGGUUGCUACACAGCGAUGUGGUGCUAAUCUCAAAAAGCCUAUCGUAGUCCGGAUUGGAGUCUGCAACUCGACUCCAUGAAGUCGGAAUCGCUAGUAAUCGCAGAUCAGAAUGCUGCGGUGAAUACGUUCCCGGGCCU